CCUUCGGGUUGUAAACUCCUGUCGAGGGGGAGGAAGAGGUGGUGCAGAGCCAUCUUUGACCGAUCCCUGGAGGAAGCACGGGCUAAGUUCGUGC
rnacentral:rRNA from 1 species